GAGCAGUCGUGGAGUAAGGACGUGCGUCCCGUUGGUCUCUGCUGAAACGUGCGUUGCGUGGUGAUAAAUAAGCAUUUCGCGGUAUUAUCAUGACCGACUUAUACUUGGAUGAUUUUGAUGAUGAGGAGCUAGUGACAUUGGUGGCAUUAUAUUUGCUAAUGAAGCAGCAAUGUCGUCGUGCUGUCGUGAAAAAAACAGAAUCAGAUGCCAAACGGUAACCCGCCCACGUCCACGUGAGAGCUUAGGUGUAGGAUCGAGAUGUUUAACGACAGGAGCCUGUUGCCAUGAUUUUUUUUAGGCUAAGGGCGUCCAUAGAGGGUGAUGUUGUUCGACGAGUUUUGAAAUAAAUCUGGAACGUUCCUUUCGAUUUA